UUUUUUCUUCACGUUUUGCAUAUGGUCUAUAAAAUGUCAGAAAUGAGAGGUUGAUUAUUGAUGAAAUUAUUUUCCUUUGUCCUUGAAUGCAAUGUCCUCAUGAAGAACCAAAUAAAAAAAUGGUAUGAUCAUGAUAAUGAUCUGAUGUAGGUGAAUGAAAUUAAACCAACAAAAUAAAAGUUACUAUGGCUUUUACAAUGAAGACGAAACUAGGACAUAAAUGAGAUGAUACCCUAAUGGUGUAUCCACUAGGAAGAAAAAGGAGUACAUGAUGUCGUUACUAUUUCAACCUUUCCUAAUUGGUUCAACUUCAGAAAAUGACUUGUUAUUUUCUUGUCUCACUCUUUGUUUGCAUAUGAUGCUUUUCACAUCUCUAGUUAUGUGUAUAUCAUGAUAUUCAAACAAAAUAAGUGUUCCCUACUUUGAAAGAAAGAUCGGUUCAUAUAUGACUUGAGUUUAAUUUGGACCACUUAUUUUGGUAAAUGGUAUCUAACAUUGUUUAAUAUAUGGUGCUUGUAUAGACAC
rnacentral:lncRNA from 1 species